UACGAGGGGGGGCAAGUGUUGUUCGGAAUCACUGGGCGUAAAGGGAGCGUAGGCGGAUGUUUAAGUUGGAUGUUUAAAACCGGGGCCCAACCUCGGAGCGGCAUCCAAAACUGGGCAUCUUGAAUAGGUCAGAGGCUGGUGGAAUUGGAGGUGUAGCGGUGGAAUGCGUAGAGAUCUCCAAGAACACCUAUUGCGAAGGCAGCCAGCUGGGACCAUAUUGACGCUGAGGCUCGAAAGCAUGGGGAGCAAACAGG
rnacentral:rRNA from 1 species